rnacentral:rRNA from 1 species
AAUGAACGCUGGCGGCGUGCUUAACACAUGCAAGUCGAGCGAGGCCUGGGGGGCAACUCCCAGAGUCGAGCGGCGGACGGGUGAGUAACACGUGGGUAACCUGCCCGGAAGUGGGGAUACCUCGGGGAAACUCGAGCUAAUACCGCAUGACAUCUUCGGGACGAAAGUCCUGACGAUCAAAGCGGGGUCGCAAGAUCUCGCGCUACCGGAUGGGCCCGCGCCCGAUUAGCUAGUUGGGAGGUAACGGCUCACCAAGGCUUCGAUCGGUAACCGGCCUGAGAGGGCGAUCGGUCACACCGGAACUGAGACACGGUCCGGACUCCUACGGGAGGCAGCAGUGGGGAAUCUUGCGCAAUGGGCGAAAGCCUGACGCAGCAACGCCGCGUGGAGGAUGAAGGCCCUUGGG